rnacentral:ribozyme from 1 species
UGCCCAGCAACUCCUAUCCCUACUUUCACGCGGUACCGGCCGGAAACUAUGAGCAACCUUAGGGAAGAUCGGGUAACCAACCCCGGUGGGAACUUUGGUCGUAGGCUAACAGGGAAGG